CCGAACUCAGAAGUGAAACGCGGUAGCGCCGAUGGUAGUGUGGCAUUCGCCAUGCGAGAGUAGGACACUGCCAGGC
rnacentral:rRNA from 1 species